AGAAUCAACGCUGGCGGCGUGCCUAACACAUGCAAGUCGAACGAGAAAGUGGAGCAAUCCAUGAGUAAAGUGGCGCACGGGUGAGUAACACGUGACUAACCUACCCUUGAGUGGGGGAUAACCUAGAGAAAUCUGGGCUAAUACCGCAUAAUACCUGGGUCAAGGAGCAAUUCGCUUAAGGAGGGGGUCGCGGCCGAUUAGUUAGUUGGCGGGGUAAUGGCCCACCAAGACUAUGAUCGGUA
rnacentral:rRNA from 1 species